CUCCUCCCCUCGGCCGCGCCCCGCGACGCCUCUGAGCUCCGGGCCCGCUAAGGAGAGGGCUCCUCCUGCCCGCGGUUUGCAGAGGGAAGCGGCGGAGACCGGGAGGGCGCGCUCGGUUCUGGCCAGGCCAGCAGCUGCGGCCGAGUGGGGGGCUCCGGCCUGGCCGCUUCCUGGGACCCCCUCCCGCCCGGGGCCGCCGCCGCCAGCUGCAGCCUCUCGGCUCCUCCCCAGAGGAGCGCGGGGCCGGGGCCCAGGCCAAGUCCCUCCCCGGAGCCGCGGGGCGUCUGCGCCGCCGGAUGAGCUCCCCGCCGGGCGGCGACCCCGUGCCCCACGCCCGUCUCGGCAAGGAGGAGGCGGAGGCGGCCCCGCGAGAGAGGCCCAAGGAGCGACUGGGCCUGGACCCAGGGGACGCCAGGGCAGCGGAGCUCCCGGCACCGGUCCCGUCCCCCCCCCCCCGCCCACCCGCGGGACGCGCCCGCCUUAACCCUCCAGGCGCCGGGCCCGCUGGGGGCGCUGAGAGGGGCUGGUGUGCCGGGGGCGCCUUCCUGCUUGGGGCCGACGGGGGUGUGUGAGUGCAGGCGUGUGCGUGUGUGUGCGCAUGUGUGUGUGUGGAUGUGCGUGUGCGUGUGUAUGCCUGUGUGUGUUUGUGUGUGCGUCUGUGUGCAUGUGUGUGUGCACAUGCAUGUGUGUUCACGUGAGUGCAUCUCAUCUGUCACCCACAACCAGGGGAGCGGUGCUUGUACAACCAGCUGGUGGCUUCUGCAACCAGCAGCUUCUGGCCGUGCAGCUCCCUGUAGGGAAUAUGAGUUAAUCUGGAUGUCAGCCUAAGAUGUAGUCAGGGAGGUAAGUGUGUGGGAGGAGGCCACAUCCCCUGUGCCUCAAGCCGGCUGCUUCCACAGUGCCCAGACUGCCUGGGCCAGCAGCCUCGCCAGCAAGCCCAGGCGGGUGGGCCGGGAGCAGGGCCUGGGCCCCCCCUCUUACUUUCACCGGCUGGCUGUGUUACCAGGGCCCUCUCCGCCCUCUCUGAGCCUCAGUUUCCUCUGAUGUGAAUUAAGGGCGUUGAGCCCAUUGUUCCUGAGGAAUCACUCAUCUCUGAGCCUGGCCCAUUGCCUGGCAUUCCGUGGGCACCCACUAGAUACUUAUAAGGGGAGAAGUUGUUCCAGUCCGGCUGGCCAGUGGAAUCCAUGCGUCUUGGGCCAUUUGAAGUGAGUGAAGGGCUGGGUGCGGCCCACCUGGAGCUGGACUGGAGGCUGUGUUGGGUGGGGCGGUGUGACCUGGAGGUGGGCUGCCCCCUCAGGAGACAGCUUCACCCCUGUGAGUGGACCUCAUCCUUCCUUCCUUCCACUCACAUGGACAGCACAUCUGUGUGUAGACAGGGUCACUGAGAGAGGCCAAGGAGGGUGAGGAGGAAGAUCCCGGGUGUGGGGGGAGUCCUGGGGGAGCAGACAGCAGGGACAGAAGCCUGUGGCAGGAAGGAAGGUCUUGGCCUGUGUUCUCCCAGCAAGGGUCCCCUUGGACUUGGAGUUCUAUAGGCUCCUGGCCCCCCCAUCUCUCCCGUGGUCUACAGGACCUCGACGCAGAGCUGUGGCUAGUGUCUUGGGGCAGACAUGGGGCUGAGCAGACCCCAUGGAACACUAUUAUCCGGUGUGGGGGGCCUCAUGGAGGUUCCCUGGGCACUUACUUUCACUUGCCUCCUGCCCCCAACUCCUCUCCCCUCCCAUCCUCACCCCCAGAGUGGUUUUUGGGAGCCCGGCAGCUAUCUGGACCCGUGUGCACCCCUGGACGCCUCCCUCCCUCGCAGAGGGUCCUGGUUCAUCUCGUCUGUUGCCUCUUAGAACAGUGGCCUCUACCUCGCCAGGUCCUUCAGAAGCGCCCCCCUCCCUGCCCCGCCACUGUUUUCCCAACAGCACCCGCCGUGGUCUGAGGACACUUUCUUCUGCUCCUGUUUAUUGUUUAUCUCCCCCAAGCACAAGCAGUCGAGUUAAGACAGGAGCCUCGUUCAAAGUUCCGCCCGGGGCCAGGCACAGCGCAGGCUCUCAGAGGAGGGCCCAGGAGUCCACAGGCUGCGGCGGCGCGAGACAAAAGUCGGAAGACAGGACCCCGCUGAGGAGUGAGGAGACAGCGGCCAACCCUCCGCCAGACCCUUCCGCCUGGUGCCUUUACUGGGCUCUGAGGAGGAAUUUGGUGGUUCAGUCGGCCCAUCCGUGGACACCAUAAAAACAAAGAGAAAACAGACACACACAGAUGCACACAUAGAUACACACAGAUACACACAGACACGGAUAUAUAGACACACACAGAUACACACACGUGGACACAGACACACACAUAGACACAGAUAUAUAGACACACACAGAUACACACACGUGGACACAAACACACACAGACAUACCCAUAGUUACGGAUAUAUGCAUGGAUACACAAUACACAGACACACAGAUGAUACAUGCAUAGACAGAUAUAUGGACACACACACACGGACACACAGAUACACACAUAGACACAUAGACAGACACAGAUACAGACACAGGCACAUGUAGACACACAUGGACAUACAAUACUCAGAUGAACACAGAGAUAAUAUACACAUAGACACAGAUCUAUAGAUACACAAAGACAUACACACAGAUAUACAUAGAUGCACACAUAGACACAGAUACACAUGUCAUCACACAUGGACACACACAGACACACACCAAUACACACAUAGACAUACGAAGACACAGGUACACAGACACGUAUACACACAGACACGCAUAUAUACAUACAGACGCAGAUAUACACACAGACACAGACAUACACACACACACAGACACAGAUAUACACAGAUACAUGGACAGAUACACAUUCACAUACACACAUAGAUACACAGAAACACACAGACACACAGACACAUAGAGACACACACACAGCCACACAGGCCCUGAGCCUCCCUGGGCCCUCCCUUGUGCAGAGGCGGAGGGGCUGGCUGUCGGGGAGGGCACCUGGAGAGGACACACAGCCCCAUCAGAGACCAGGGAGUGGCUCUGGGAGCUCUUUUCGUCCAAAGGGGCUGGAGCUCCAGUUAGCCAAGGUGAGCGCCAGGUGGUGACAGGAAUGACAUAGGAAAAUAAGACGGCCCGGGCAGGGAGGGCUGCCUGCUCUGGGUGUGAGGGGAUUGCUGUCUUAGACCACGUGGCCCAGGAAGGCCUCCAGGCAUGGCUUUGCACAGAAGCUGGUACCUGAGGGCUCAGCCCCGUGGAGGCCUGCGGGGUGGAAAUGCCAAGGCUGGGGCAGGGGCAUGUCUGACCCUCUGCGGGGAGAGAAGGCCUGUGAGGUGGGCAUUGUGUGAGGGGCCAAGUGGCCUCUGUAAGGUCUGCAGGUGGGGCCAGGCUGUGGGCUGCGUCCUGAGUGAGGGGGCCGUGGGAAGGCUGGGGACAGAGGGACGACGCUGGGUCUUGGGUCGGGAGAGGCUCACCUAGGGGCCGGGUGGAUGGGUCUAAGGAGGGCUAAGGGCGGGGCAGGGAGAGCAGCUGUGUGGUGAGGACGAAGGGAGGUCGGCCAGAGCCCCCGGGGAAGGGCUGUUGUCAUGUGGAUGAGCUGGGAAUUAGGAAAGCUUGUGGAUUGCGAGG
rnacentral:lncRNA from 1 species